UCUAACUUUUAAUUUCCCCUUAUCUCACUCUCUCUCAAAAUGUUAUUUCCCCAUUCUCUCUCCAAUAUUAAAGCAGCUUUGUCGUCGUCUUCAGCUCCCUCAACUCCAUUGAAGCAGCUCAGUUAUCAGCUCAAGCUCUCUUGAAGCAGCUCGGUGGUCCUCAAACUCCGAUGGUCCUCAAGCUCGGUGGUCCUCUAAUUCCGGUGGUCCUCAGCUGCGCUUUCUCGCGACUCCCUCUCUGACUCCCAAGCUCUCUCCAUUACAGCAGCUCAAACUUUCUCCAUUGAAGCAGCUCAAGCUCGCCCUUAGCUUCCUACUCAAGAAAUUCCCAUCAAAUCUUCCUGAGUAGCUCGGUCCUCAGCUCCCUCAACUCCAUUGAAGCAGCUCGGUUCUCUCCAAUCUCUCUCCAUUGAAGCAGCUCGGUCCUCAUUGCGUCUAAAAUCUGACAAUUUGGUCAGCAGUGGAUUUCUACUUGCAAGUCUUAAAUUUUACAGUUAUCAACUGUUUCUAUUACAUGCAGUGGCUUUCCUGGUUUUUUUCUUCUGUCAACUGGAAUAGUACUCAGAGAUGAUAUGCUUAGAUGAGAUACAGUCGUAUAUUCUUGUCGAAAGGUUGAUGGAUCAGAAAAGUGAUUUUGUUGAUGGUGCCAUGCAAGGUUUUCUUCAUGAGUAAAUGUUGGAUCAUCUGUUGAAGAAGAAAAAGCCAUUUGGCAUGAGGUUUCCAAGCUCAUUUCUGAUGGUCUAGAGAGCAAGUUGAUAUCUAUUUUGGAUGGACAAUUAUCAUCAUCUUUUCCUCAACACAUGGAUGUUGAUCUUUUCAUAUUGUGGGGUGAAGAAAUUCUAAUUGAAGCCAACCUGAUCUUGGACAUUCUAUUUUUUGUAUAUUAUGAGUCAUUCUGUACUUGCAGUGCUUCUAAAUGGAAGGAUUUAUGCCUGCUGUAUAAGUUAUAUUUUUUUGUUGGUCCUUCUGUUGUUCUCUUACUGCUCAAUGUAAUUGUGGAAUAUAUAUGUUGCUUUCUCACUUACCAAAAAAUGGCAUUUCAGGAUAUGACAGCUGGAUCAUCAAACUUUGUUAAGCUGGGGGUGUUUCUGAAGCUUGUAAAUAUUGUUUUUGUGCUAAGAUUCAGAUGCUAUUGAUACUUAUAGAGGCCUUGGACUUUGAGAGUCUUCUUCAAAUGAUACAUGAUGAAAUUCCCUUUAGGCAUGUUUUCAAUUUGAUCCAAUUGAUAUGGUGUUGCCUUCUGCUCUAAAGAUUGAUAAACCACCUAAAAAUUAAUAUUGUUGCUUUUGCGAAUGUUGUAUGUUGCCAAUUUUUUGCCAAUUCAAAAUAUAAGUUAAUUAUUGAUGUUAUGUGUUUUAUUUCUA